rnacentral:rRNA from 1 species
AUUGAACGCUGGCGGCAGGCCUAACACAUGCAAGUCGAGCGGCAGCGGGGGAAAGCUUGCUUCCCCGCCGGCGAGCGGCGGACGGGUGAGUAAUGUCUGGGAAACUGCCUGAUGGAGGGGGAUAACUACUGGAAACGGUAGCUAAUACCGCAUAACGUCUUCGGACCAAAGUGGGGGACCUUCGGGCCUCAUGCCAUCAGAUGUGCCCAGAUGGGAUUAGCUAGUAGGUGAGGUAACGGCUCACCUAGGCGACGAUCCCUAGCUGGUCUGAGAGGAUGACCAGCCACACUGGAACUGAGACACGGUCCAGACUCCUACGGGAGGCAGCAGUGGGGAAUAUUGCACAAUGGGCGCAAGCCUGAUGCAGCCAUGCCGCGUGUAUGAAGAAGGCCUUCGGGUUGUAAAGUACUUUCAGCGGGGAGGAAGGUGUUGUGGUUAAUAACCAGAGCAAUUGACGUUACCCGCAGAAGAAGCACCGGCUAACUCCGUGCCAGCCGCCGCCGUAACAC